rnacentral:misc_RNA from 1 species
CUGGAUAACGCCUCGUGCCACGUUCAGGACAUUGUAGACUUUGAUGUUCACUGUGGGGCUGUGGUGACGCUGCUCAUGGCAGAGGUCUGCUUGGGCUACAACCUUCAAGAUCUCAUUGGUCCCCCUUCGUCCUUCUCGGAUGAAGGGUUGGAGGACCUGCUGGAAGGCUACGACGACAUAGCUAGCCACGUCGUUCUUAGGGUGUCUGUUCACGACGUCGUCCGCGCUGCACGCUAA